ACUAUAGGUACGGAGCCGAAGGGAAACCAAGUCUUAAGAGGGCGUGAAGUCAGUAAGAGUAGACCCGAAACCGGGUGAUCUACCCAUGUCCAGGCUGAAGCUGCCGUAAGAGGUAGUGGAGGGCCGAACGCACAUCCGUUGAAAAGGGUGGCGAUGAGGUGUGGGUAGGGGAGAAAUUCCAAUCGAACCCGGAGAUAGCUGGUUCUCCUCGAAAUAGCUUUAGGGCUAGCCUCGAUGGAGUCUUACGGAGGUAGAGCACUGAAUUUCUAAGGGGGCGUCAAAGCUUACCAAGGGAUAUCAAACUCCGAAUGCCGUAAAGAUGCUCAUCGGGAGUCAGACUGCACGAGAUAAGUUGGGCAGUCAAAAGGGAAAGAGCCCAGACCUGCUGCUAAGGUCCCAAAGUACGUGUUAAGUGGAAAAGGAUGUGGGAUUUCGAAGACAACUAGGAUGUUGGCUCAGAAGCAGCCACACAUUCAAAGAGUGCUUAAUAGCUCACUAGUCGAGAGGUCCUGCGCCGAAAAUGUCCGGGGC
rnacentral:rRNA from 1 species